CCGCGUUCGGUUGGAGUUUUUGUGAGGUGAUGGACUUCUCCGUCGUUUUGAAACGUCUCUGAACUGUCCGGUCAAUCGAAGUACCAACUACCAGCUCAUGUGUGCUACCUUGCGGAUGUUUACUCACAGCUCGGUGAACCGCAUAAAAGUUACGUUAUACUUGUGAAUUGCCUUUUUGGUGUUUGGUUGUCUAUGCAGUUUAAUAAAUACAAAUAAGUAUCAUAACUCCGGUGGUCUUUCGGACACCGCAAAACGGUGAAGAUUUCGUCAGUGAAAGUGUUUUUUCCUUCAUUCAAUUCUUCUGUGGUAAUCUAAACCAUGCGAAUCAGUCAAGUGUGACCGACCCAAAAGGCAGUAAGCAGAGGUUCGGACCAAAUCGAAAAGAUUGUUGAUGUCCACCGCCAGCCAAAUUUACUUCAUCAUCGAAUCCGAAAGAUUGGUAUCGAAGUAUCGGGAAUCCGGAACAUGAUUCCGGUUAAAGCUAUAUGGGCUUCAAAAUAAAGUACAUCGCCAGUAUAUAAGAAUGUCCACUUCAUGUUCGACCAGCAUGUGUUACCCCAUGGACACCGGUUCAAGUGAACGAACCAGAGAUAUCGAUAUGGUAUCAAAAUAUGGCUUCCAUGUCCUCCAUCAUUCCACAGUCAUUCAACAGAAAUCCUGAAGAAAAACGAAUGAAAAUAGCUGGAUCUUUUAAACAAACCGGUAGGAAAAAAUGAAAUAUGAAUCGUGAAAUCUCGUUGAUAU